AACAAACCUUGCCAACGUCCUGAAAGUCGACACGAUGCACAAGAGAAUGGUGUUUGCUAUACUUAUGUUGUCUCUUCUUCUCAUAGACAACAGCUUUGGAAUUGGAAUGUUUUGCACUAAAAAAGAUCCCAGACCGAACUGUAAGAAAAGGCUGGUCAGAAGACAGAUAUGUUCGAUUGCCCGACGCAUGGACUGUGAAAAAGUUCGACGUGACCACCCUGAAGAUGAUGGAAGCUUAGGAUCUCAGCAGACUUGGAACUUUUAACUAUGUUUGAUGUAAAUCAUAUGGGAAAAGCGUAAGACAAUUAAAAAAAGUUACGUUUGAGCGAUA